GGAAAAGAUUAGAAGAUAUGUUUAUACAUUGGAUUGAUAUUUCACUAAACAUGCACAAAUACAACUGUGAUCCUAGGCAAAAGAGGUUGAAGAUGCGGGUGCAGUUCAUCUUGGAUGGAUGGAGUCCGCUCACCAUGGCUACAGAGCUGGGGGCAUGGCCAGAGUACGAGGAGGAUGACUGGGGCAGAGGGCACUUCCGUCUAAGGCAGCCUCAGAGAAAGCCAAUCAACUUGCCAGUCUUUCUGCUCAUAUCUCUGUAAUCCAAUCAGAAUCUCUGCCUCUCAGUCAUCCAAUUGUCUAUAUUGUCUCCCACCACCACC